GUUAAAUGUCAACUCAAACUCUGACUGCACACUUUGUUUGUGAGAUAUGAUUUCCCACACUUUCACUCUAAGAGUGACAUUCAUCCUCCCGAGCAGUUCCCAUGCAGGGUCAUAGUUUUGACUGCUCUCUCUGGUAUUUCAUUCCAUUUUUUAUGUUGUAGGCUGCCUUUUUUUUCUUUUGCUAUCACAACAAGCUUUUAAAAAGUUUAAAUCGGCGCUUUGGAUAAAUGCCGCGUCGUGUCUUUCCAACGAAACCGAAAGGAUGGAGGCAAAUGAUUGAUUGCAGAAGUUGUCCUUGACUUGAUCGGACUGGAGUUUGGUGAAAUCCUAAGCCCGGCGUCAGCAAUCCAUGACGGGGAAGGAAAUAGGAGCAGUCAGUUUGGUAAUGUUGGAAGCCACGGAGCGCCACAUCGGAAGUCUACCCGUCGCCGUGUUAACGUCUCCGCCACAGGUAGUGCAAAAGUACUGAAGGGGAGCCAAAGAAAAAAAAAAGUGAAAGUUUGGAGCUCACCAUGAGCGAAGACGGUCACGACUAGAGAUGGGUUUGCUCGUCUGAAGAUCCUGCAGAAAAACAUGAUAAAUGUGUCUGACUGGAACUCUGCUCCGUAGUGUCCUGGUGGCUGUCUUGUUGGCCUACUCCUGUGGGAAAAGUAGAUGUAACUAUAAAGAAAUACUGGGCUCCUACAGAGAAGUCAUCUCCGUUGAACUACAGAAUCUGAAUCUGACUGUUUCAGCGAAUAAAUUUAAAGAGAGAGACCCUUGUCCCUCAGGAAAGGCACGUCGCAUCCUGGUUUCCAUCUAUGGUAUGACACAGCAGAUGCGGUGUCAGGGGAGUGGCAAAAAUCAAUCUGACCUGGAGAAGCCAGUUGAGAGCAUGGAGCAGCUAAUUGUGCAAAACUGCCGUCCCCAGUAUUUGGGAAAUAAAACCUCUUGUUCAGCUGUCCAGAAAAUACGAGGAAAGAAGAGAAAAAGGAUGAGGUUAAUCCGAGUUAUCAAGGCACUGAUCACUUGCUGGCAAAAACUUCAAAGUGUCUCUGUGCUUUAAAAGUAGGAAAUGUAUCUCCCUGGUUCCUAUAGGCCUGUGCUACUUUCUCAUGAAGACAUAAGGUGAAUUUACACAGUGUUCCUUGCUACAGAUAGCGAAUAUUACAUGUGACCAAUCAGUGACUGUGUUUAGACAGCUAUUUUUCAAAAGCAAAGUCAUGAAUGUUUACUGUUGUCAAGUUCUCAGUGUCUUGUGUAUUAAAAGCUACACCAGCAUCUGCAUGUCAGCAUUGCUACAUUUUAUGGAAUAGCUUUAUAUAGUAAGCAAAGAUAAGCUAAAGAUCGACGCGUUCAGAUACUUUUAGACCAUUUUAAAAGUUUCUCCUGUUGUACAAACUCUUAUGUUUUGUGUUUGCAAACCACAUGUCAUCAUACCCAAAAAUGUUCUUAUGUCGGUUAUAUAGUUGAGUAUAUGCCACAUAAUAAAAUUUGUACAUGUUUGAUUUAUACUAUUCUGAAGUGAGCCUAUGCAGUUAUUGUAAUAAUGAUAUUAAUUAAUUAAUUAUUAUUAUUAGGGGUGCUAUAGGUGUAUCAGCUACAAUAGACUUUUGUUGCAAGAUAUUAUAUAACCAUCCUUUUUUUCAUUAUUUUGAUUAAGGAAUGAAUGUUAGUGUUACAAAAUGUCAUUCAAUAAAUAUUGCACAAUGUCUUUAUUGUAAAGAAUGGAAACAUAUAGAAGCUUGUUUCUGUCAAUCAAGAUUUUUUUUAUUUUAAUUUAAUUUUUUUUUGUUAGUCAAAAUUUUCAGGUGAUGUCUUGAAAUUUUCUACUCAUGACAAAUCACUCAAUUUUAAAACAUUUAGUCAGUAACUUGACGUUUUGUGAAAAAAGUUCUAACUUAGCUUCUAACUACUUUUUUUUUUCUGAGUGACGGAAAAAAGCUUCCAUAAAGAGGUCACAAGAAAAAGCUAAAUGUGAAUAAAGCAGAUAUUAAUACAUGCUGGCUAAAUCAUUAUAUUUUAAAUAAAGUGUAGCAAAAAAAACCCAACCAAUCUGCUAUUUAUUUAUUAGUGAUCUGCUCUUAGCCACUUUGUAGUUUGCAGUUGUGAUGGACAAGCUGAUAGAUGAGGUCAGGCAGGAGUCUCUGUGUACUGUGAUGUUUGUAAACGACAUUGUGAUCUGUAGUGAGAGUAGUGAGAAGGGGGAUGAGAGCCUGGAGAGGUGGAGGUGUGCACUGAAGAGGAAUGAAAGUCAGAAGAAGCAAGACAUGUGUGUGACUGAGAGGGGGUAAAGGUGAGGAUGCAAGGAGCAGAGGUAAUGAAGGCAGACAAAAAUAUAGGAGGUGGAGGUGGCAGAGUUGAAAAUGUUACGAUUUUCAUUUGUGGUGACAAGGAUGGACAAGAUUAGAAAUGAGUCUACUGGAGGGCCAGCUUACGUUGAGUGGAUUGGAGGCAAAGUUAGAAAGACAAGGCUGAGAUGGACAUGCGCGGAUACAAGAAUGAAGAGGAAGAAAAGAGCAAGACCACAGAGAUUCGUGGAUGUAGCGAAGGGGAGCAUGCCAAGGUUUGGUGAG
ensembl:lncRNA